rnacentral:rRNA from 1 species
AGGCCUAACACAUGCAAGCCGAGCGGUAGAGAUCUUUCGGGAUCUUGAGAGCGGCGUACGGGUGCGGAACACGUGUGCAACCUGCCUUUAUCAGGGGGAUAGCCUUUCGAAAGGAAGAUUAAUACCCCAUAAUAUAUUGAGUGGCAUCACUUAAUAUUGAAAACUCCGGUGGAUAGAGAUGGGCACGCGCAAGAUUAGAUAGUUGGUGAGGUAACGGCUCACCAAGUCUGCGAUCUUUAGGGGGCCUGAGAGGGUGAUCCCCCACACUGGUACUGAGACACGGACCAGACUCCUACGGGAGGCAGCAGUGAGGAAUAUUGGACAAUGGGUGCGAGCCUGAUCCAGCCAUCCCGCGUGAAGGACGACGGCCCUAUGGGUUGUAAACUUCUUUUGUAUAGGGAUAAACCUACUCUCGUGAGAGUAGCUGAAGGUACUAUACGAAUAAGCACCGGCUAACUCCGUGCCAGCAGCCGCGGUAAUACGGAGGGUGCAAGCGUUAUCCGGAUUUAUUGGGUUUAAAGGGUCCGUAGGCGGAUCUGUAAGUCAGUGGUGAAAUCUCACAGCUUAACUGUGAAACUGCCAUUGAUACUGCAGGUCUUGAGUGUUGUUGAAGUAGCUGGAAUAAGUAGUGUAGCGGUGAAAUGCAUAGAUAUUACUUAGAACACCAAUUGCGAAGGCAGGUUACUAAGCAACAACUGACGCUGAUGGACGAAAGCGUGGGGAGCGAACAGGAUUAGAUACCCUGGUAGUCCACGCCGUAAACGAUGCUAACUCGUUUUUGGAUUUUCGGAUUCNGAGACUAAGCGAAAGUGAUAAGUUAGCCACCUGGGGAGUACGAACGCAAGUUUGAAACUCAAAGGAAUUGACGGGAGCCCGCACAAGCUGUGGAUUAUGUGGUUUAAUUCGAUGAUACGCGAGGAACCUUACCAAGGCUUAAAUGGGAAAUGACAGGCUUAGAAAUAGGCUUUUCUUCGGACAUUUUUCAAGGUGCUGCAUGGUUGUCGUCAGCUCGUGCCGUGAGGUGUUAGGUUAAGUCCUGCAACGAGCGCAAGCCCUGUCACUAGUUGCCAGCAUUAGAUUGGGGACUCUAGUGAGACUGCCUAGGCAA